GACGAACGCUGGCGGCGUGCUUAACACAUGCAAGUCGAACGGAAAGGCCUGCUUUCCCUUGUGGAUUGCGGGUACUCGAGUGGCGAACGGGUGAGUAACGCGUGAGUGAUCUGCCCCCAACUUGGGUAUAAGCCUGGGAAACUGGGUCUAAUUCCCGAUAGGACUGCAGGGUGGUGCCUGUGGUGGAAAACGAUUUUCUAGUGGUUGGGGAUGAGCUCGCGGCCUAUCAGCUUGUUGGUGGGGUAAUGGCCUACCAAGGCGGCGACGGGUAGCCGGCCUGAGAGGGUGGACGGCCACAUUGGGACUGGGAUACGGCCCAGACUCCUACGGGAGGCAGCAGUGGGGAAUAUUGCACAAUGGGCGGAAGCCUGAUGCAGCGACGCCGCGUGGGGGAUGACGGCCUUCGGGUUGUAAACUCCUUUCGACCGCGAGGAAGCCACCUGGUUGGAAGGGUGGUGACGGUAGUGGUAGAAGAAGCACCGGCUAACUACGUG
rnacentral:rRNA from 1 species